GAUGAACGCUGGCGGCGUGCCUAAUACAUGCAAGUCGAGCGAACAGACGAGGAGCUUGCUCCUCUGACGUUAGCGGCGGACGGGUGAGUAACACGUGGAUAACCUACCUAUAAGACUGGGAUAACUUCGGGAAACCGGAGCUAAUACCGGAUAAUAUAUUGAACCGCAUGGUUCAAUAGUGAAAGACGGUUUUGCUGUUACUUAUAGAUGGAUCCGCGCCGCAUUAGCUAGUUGGUAAGGUAACGGCUUACCAAGGCAACGAUGCGUAGCCGACCUGAGAGGGUGAUCGGCCACACUGGAACUGAGACACGGUCCAGACUCCUACGGGAGGCAGCAGUAGGGAAUCUUGCGCAAUGGGCGAAAGCUUGACGGAGCAACGCCGCGUGAGUGAUGAAGGUCUUCGGAUCGUAAAGCUCUGUUAUUAGGGAAGAACAAAUGUGUAAGUAACUAUGCACGUCUUGACGGUACCUAAUCAGAAAGCCACGGCUAACUACGUG
rnacentral:rRNA from 1 species